rnacentral:sRNA from 1 species
AGUCGACUCAAGCUCCGGAGUGGCCCCUGCAGUUGGAUAGCAAUGAGAGUCCUCCAGGGGUGCAGGGCGACGGCUUCGGCCGCACCGCGGGCUAGCCAGGGCUGCGUGCCCGCCUCUGACCCUCAGCAGAGGUGUCUGGCCAGGAGGAGCUGAAGUUCUGCAGGACAUUGGUCCGCCCGCGGACAGUCCACUCCGCGGGGAAUUUCUCCGGAUAAGGACCUCCUCUACAGUGGUGAGGUCACAGCCCCUUGGAGCCCUCCCUCUUCCCACCCCUCCCGCUCCCGGGUCUCCUUUGGCCUGGGGUAACCCGAGGUGCGGAGAGCUGAGAAUGAGGCGAUUUCGGAGGAUGGAGAAAUAGCCCCGAGUCCCGUGGAAAAUGAGGCCGGCGGACUUGCUGCAGCUGGUACUGCUGCUCGCCCUGCCCAGGGACCUGGGCGGAAAGGAGUGUUCGUCUCCACCCUGCGAGUGCCAUCAGGAGGAGGACUUCAGAGUCACCUGCAAGGAUAUUCAACGCAUCCCCAGCUUACCGCCCAGUACGCAGACUCUGUAAGUACCCGGGAGAAAUCAGGGUAGGACCUAGAGACCAAGGGCAUCUGCAGAGGUGGCCCGAAGUGCACAAAAGCAGCUCAAUAA